rnacentral:lncRNA from 1 species
UGAUGGGAUCUGGGGCCCAGGCAGAAGAGGCCCCAGAAUCCUCUCUCACCGCAGGCCUCAAAUCAUUUUUCUCCAUGAUACCAGUCCGAGAUAUGGUCCCCAAGGGUGCUGCUGCAGCAUAUCCUCUCCUGUCCAUUUAAGAAAUUAUUAAUUAUUCUUAUUAAAAGAAAAAAAGAAAAGAAAGAAAGAAAGAAAGAAAGAAAGAAAUCAUUAAUCAUAAGUGAAAGAAAUGAGAAUUAUAUAACAAAGAAAAAGAUUACUUUAAAGAGUUUUUAUAAUUCACAUGGUGAAACAGAAUCAUAUGAUCUAGCUAGCUUGUGCAAACCGAGGUGUUACUAAAAGCGCUAAUAAUCAAUCUGCAAAUGCUUUAGGUUAUUGAAUUAAUGCGUCUCAAGAAUGCGUUUAAAACAAAAUUAAGCGAUUUCGCCUUUCCAAAGUAUUUGCGGAGGAACAAAUAUACAAGGUCCUGUAUAAUAUUAAGGAAAGAUAAGGGUGCAAAAUAAUAUUUAGCCCAAUUAAGACCGUCCCAAUGUUAGUUUACUUUUUGGCCCCUCGUAUUCAUGAUUUUUAUGUUCUAACCCUCGAUGAAUCCGAUCAUUUUAAAAAAUUUUAUUUUUCACAUACGAAAGUCGAUCAAAAUCACAUGGCGAGUUUACAGAAAGGCUACGUUUGUUUUUUUUUUUUCGAAUUCGUUUGUUUGUUAAGUUAUGAAGGAAAAAAAAAAAAGAAAAACAUUUGGGAGAUGACUUGAUCUCUUCUGAAAUGUCACUAGAAAUGUUUAGAUUGAUCAAGAAACAAAUAUAAACAGCUAAGGAUUCAAUGAUGAUGAGAUCAAGCGACACAACGUAGAACAAGAAACAAGAUAAAAUUAUCAUUUCAAAGAAGACCCAAAGAGAGAGAGAGAGAGAAAAAAAAGAGUUCUGUAAACAGACCUGCUAAUGGAGAGCGAGAUGCCAUCAGCAACAGGAGCAAGAAGAAGCUUAGCUUUGAAGAGAGAGCGGGCCAUUGUUUUAUUUACUUAUAGAACUUAAUAGAUAUGAAGAUAGCUAGCUGGGAUGUUUCUGUACAGUGCUACUACAGAAGAAGAAAGAUUCUGCUCCUGCAGUAGCUAUAGGCAAAAGCUAGCGGCUCGCUCUCUUU